AAUUCUAUCUGGCUAGACUAGUGUCAAGGGUUUCCUUGUGGGCAGAAGGGGUCACAGAUCUUGAACUGGAAGGGAACCCAAAGACUGUAUAUUUCAGCCUCCCCAUUUUAUGCUUCUUAAUAGUUAGAGUUAGCAAAGACCCUGGACUUGCAAAUGUUCAACCAGAGUCUGUGACUUUGUUUUUUUUUAAUUUUUGAUAAUUGUUUAAUGGCAUUGAUAUUCUUUGUUAUCCCAGGUACUUUUUUAUUUUAUUAAUUUAAAAGCAGGUAUCAUCAGGCUUUAUCAGACUGUCAGAGGGGUCCAUGGUAUCUAGUUCACCUACUCCACCUCCGUUUUAUAAGUGAAGGAUCUGAAACACAGAGAUUGGCAGGGAUUUGGUCAAACUUACAUAUUUAGUAAAUAGCAGGAUAGGCAGUAACUCUAAGCCCUCUGAUUUUAUAUCUAAAAUUUUGUCAUUCUAUUAUGGUUAAAGGAAUAAGCAUUAAAAUACAUAUCAUGUAUUUUAUGCAAUGUGCCAAGUGCUUUCCAAAUAUGAUUUCAUUUGAUCCUCACAGCAACAGAAUCCCAGUUCUCGUCCUGUCCAGCCCUCCAGUCAUUAUCUAGGGGAAUAAUUGCUGUCCAGAUUCAGUCCUUCCAUUGCCACCAACACCAACAGCAACACUAAUUACCUUAGGUAACUAGCCUAUAAAGCACAGAAAAGUCAUUGACCUGUAUCAGUGAAGGGGGUUUUCAUAUGUGGAUGCCUUGCAUGGAUGAAAUCAUAGACCCAGAUUUAAAAAAAAAUGCAUCUUGGAAACAUGAAAAAAAAAGGUAUACCAAUGGACCGAAAGGGGAAAGUAAUAACCAACCAGGAUCAUUAAGUGGCUUGGAGAUGCAUCAGCUGGUCAAUAGCAGCUGGGAACACAUAUCUACCAAGUUAAUGAGGGACAGCAAGGAGGAGGUGUUGCAUCCCAGGCAGAAGGGUGAUUCAUGACAAAUUUAGACUUUUUCCCAGGCCCAAAUUACAGUCAGAGUAAAACAACCUGUGUACAUCAUAGGCAAUUUAAGAAAGCCUUGGGCAAUGCCUAGUGGGUAAUCAUUCUCCUAAUAAACGAGAUCUAAAGCAUUCA
rnacentral:lncRNA from 1 species